AGGACGAACGCUGGCGGCGUGCUUAACACAUGCAAGUCGAGCGGUAAGGCCCUUUCGGGGGUACACGAGCGGCGAACGGGUGAGUAACACGUGGGUGACCUGCCCUUAGCUCUGGGAUAAGCCUGGGAAACUGGGUCUAAUACCGGAUAUGACCUCGCGAUGCAUGUCGUGGGGUGGAAAGCCUUGUGCGGCUAGGGAUGGGCCCGCGGCCUAUCAGCUUGUUGGUGGGGUGAUGGCCUACCAAGGCGACGACGGGUAGCCGGCCUGAGAGGGCGACCGGCCACACUGGGACUGAGACACGGCCCAGACUCCUACGGGAGGCAGCAGUGGGGAAUCUUGCGCAAUGGGCGAAAGCCUGACGCAGCGACGCCGCGUGAGGGAUGACGGCCUCGGGUUGUAACCUCUUUCAGCCCUGACGAAGCGAAAGUGACGGUAGGGCGAGAAGAAGCACCGGCCAACUACGCGCCAGCAGCCGC
rnacentral:rRNA from 1 species